GGGCUGGGGCUCAGUGGUAGAGUGCUCGCCUAGCAUGUGUGAGGCCCUGGGUUCGAUCCUCAGCACCACA
rnacentral:tRNA from 1 species